AGCGCAACGGUUAAACGAUAGACUUCGAAUCGCUAGGUUGCGGGUUCGAAUCCCGCAU
rnacentral:tRNA from 12 species